GUUUCCGUAGUGUAGCGGUUAUCACGUCUGCUUCACGCGCAGAAGGUCCCCGGUUCGAUCCCGGGCGGGAACA
rnacentral:tRNA from 1 species